AGUAAUAGGGUCUGUUAAUGGAGGGCUGUAUGUGUGUAUAGUAAUAGGGUCUGUUAAUGGAGGGCUGUAUGUUUGUAUAGUGUUAGGGUCUGUUAUUGGAGGGCUGUAUGUGUGUGUAUAGUGUUGGGGUCUGUUAAUGGAGGGCUGUAUGUGUGUAUAGUGUUAGGGUCUGUUAAUGGAGGGGUGUAUGUGUGUAUUUUUAGGGUCUAUUAUUGGAGGGGGGUGUAUGUGUGUAUUUUUAGGGUCUAUUAUUGGAGGGGUGUAUGUGUGUAUCGUGUUGGUGUCUGUUAUUGGAGGGGUGUUUAGUGUCAGGGUUUGUUGAGUGAUUUAAGAGAAAGAGUUUGAGAAUUAUUUUCAAUUCUCCUUGCCCUAUAACCACAUUUCUUUGAUUUCCUUGUCCUCAAAACCCCAGACUCCAUCAGUAAGGGUUUAGUGUCAGGAGAACUAGCUUUACCAGAGUUUAGUUUAGGAUCAGGAGAAUAAGAUUUAAAGGGACAUUCUUAGCACCAAAACUACUACAGUCCCUAGUACUUAUUUAAGCACUGCCAUAGGUGGGAACUCAUGACCACACAUGCAGACUACGACCCUUAAUGGGUGUUGUUAUAUAUGUUAGA